AUUGAACGCUGGCGGCAGGCCUAACACAUGCAAGUCGAGCGGAUGAAGGUAGCUUGCUACCUGAUUCAGCGGCGGACGGGUGAGUAAUGCCUAGGAAUCUGCCUGGUAGUGGGGGACAACGUUUCGAAAGGAACGCUAAUACCGCAUACGUCCUACGGGAGAAAGUGGGGGAUCUUCGGACCUCACGCUAUCAGAUGAGCCUAGGUACGAUUAGCUAGUUGGUGAGGUAAAGGCUCACCAAGGCGACGAUCGUUAACUGGUCUGAGAGGAUGAGCAGUCACACUGGAACUGAGACACGGUCCAGACUCCUACGGGAGGCAGCAGUGGGGAAUAUUGGACAAUGGGCGAAAGCCUGAUCCAGCCAUGCCGCGUGUGUGAAGAAGGUCUUCGGAUUGUAAAGCACUUUAAGUUGGGAGGAAGGGCAGUAAGUUAAUACCUUGCUGUUUUGACGUUACCGACAGAAUAAGCACCGGCUAACUUCGUGCCAGCCGCCGCGGUAAGAC
rnacentral:rRNA from 1 species